GGCGGUGUGUUGCUCAGUCCGUUUCUGCUGUAUGUGUUGUUGGCCUUGCUGCUGACCGGGGUGUUGCGCCUGUUGUUGCGCUACACGCCGUUGGGGCGCUGGGUCUGGCAUGAGGCGUUGUUCGACUGCGCGCUG
rnacentral:sRNA from 1 species